AAAUUGAAGAGUUUGAUCAUGGCUCAGAUUGAACGCUGGCGGCAGGCUUAACACAUGCAAGUCGAGCGGAAACGAGUUAUCUGAACCUUCGGGGAACGAUAACGGCGUCGAGCGGCGGACGGGUGAGUAAUGCCUAGGAAAUUGCCCUGAUGUGGGGGAUAACCAUUGGAAACGAUGGCUAAUACCGCAUGAUGCCUACGGGCCAAAGAGGGGGACCUUCGGGCCUCUCGCGUCAGGAUAUGCCUAGGUGGGAUUAGCUAGUUGGUGAGGUAAGGGCUCACCAAGGCGACGAUCCCUAGCUGGUCUGAGAGGAUGAUCAGCCACACUGGAACUGAGACACGGUCCAGACUCCUACGGGAGGCAGCAGUGGGGAAUAUUGCACAAUGGGCGCAAGCCUGAUGCAGCCAUGCCGCGUGUGUGAAGAAGGCCUUCGGGUUGUAAAGCACUUUCAGUCGUGAGGAAGGUAGUGUAGUUAAUAGCUGCAUUAUUUGACGUUAGCGACAGAAGAAGCACCGGCUAACUCCGUGCCAGCAGCCGCGGUAAUACGGAGGGUGCGAGCGUUAAUCGGAAUUACUGGGCGUAAAGCGCAUGCAGGUGGUUUGUUAAGUCAGAUGUGAAAGCCCGGGGCUCAACCUCGGAAUAGCAUUUGAAACUGGCAGACUAGAGUACUGUAGAGGGGGGUAGAAUUUCAGGUGUAGCGGUGAAAUGCGUAGAGAUCUGAAGGAAUACCGGUGGCGAAGGCGGCCCCCUGGACAGAUACUGACACUCAGAUGCGAAAGCGUGGGGAGCAAACAGGAUUAGAUACCCUGGUAGUCCACGCCGUAAACGAUGUCUACUUGGAGGUUGUGGCCUUGAGCCGUGGCUUUCGGAGCUAACGCGUUAAGUAGACCGCCUGGGGAGUACGGUCGCAAGAUUAAAACUCAAAUGAAUUGACGGGGGCCCGCACAAGCGGUGGAGCAUGUGGUUUAAUUCGAUGCAACGCGAAGAACCUUACCUACUCUUGACAUCCAGAGAACUUUCCAGAGAUGGAUUGGUGCCUUCGGGAACUCUGAGACAGGUGCUGCAUGGCUGUCGUCAGCUCGUGUUGUGAAAUGUUGGGUUAAGUCCCGCAACGAGCGCAACCCUUAUCCUUGUUUGCCAGCGAGUAAUGUCGGGAACUCCAGGGAGACUGCCGGUGAUAAACCGGAGGAAGGUGGGGACGACGUCAAGUCAUCAUGGCCCUUACGAGUAGGGCUACACACGUGCUACAAUGGCGCAUACAGAGGGCGGCCAACUUGCGAAAGUGAGCGAAUCCCAAAAAGUGCGUCGUAGUCCGGAUUGGAGUCUGCAACUCGACUCCAUGAAGUCGGAAUCGCUAGUAAUCGUGGAUCAGAAUGCCACGGUGAAUACGUUCCCGGGCCUUGUACACACCGCCCGUCACACCAUGGGAGUGGGCUGCAAAAGAAGUAGGUAGUUUAACCUUCGGGGGGACGCUUACCACUUUGUGGUUCAUGACUGGGGUGAAGUCGUAACAAGGUAGCGCUAGGGGAACCUGGCGCUGGAUCACCUCCUUAAACGAUGAU
rnacentral:rRNA from 1 species